GAUGAACGCUGGCGGCAUGCCUAACACAUGCAAGUCGAACGAUUGCCUUCGGGUGUUAGUUGCGCGCGGGUGCGUACCGCGUGGGGAUCUGCCCUUAGGUAAGCAAUAUCAACUGCAAGCGUAACCUCGUACCGCCGGAUAUCACGAGAUCAAAUAUUUAUCGCCCGAGGAUGAGACCGCGUUGGAUGAGGUUGUUGGUGUGGUAAAGUCCUACCAAGCCGAGGUUCCAUAGCUGGUAUGUGAGGCUGAUCAGACACACUGAGGCUAAGACACGGCCCAGACUCCUACGGGAUGCAGCAGUGGGUAAUAUUGCAACACGGGCGCAAUCCUGAUCCAGCAAUGCCGGGUGAGCUAUGAAGUCAGGAGAGUUGUAAAGCGCUAUUACCUGGGAAGAUAUUGACUGUACCGGGAGAGUAAGCCCCGGCUAACUCCGUG
rnacentral:rRNA from 1 species